rnacentral:rRNA from 1 species
AGACGAACUGUUCUAACGUUAAUCGGAAUUACUGGGCGUAAAGCGUGCGCAGGCGGUUUUGUAAGACAGAGGUGAAAUCCCCGGGCUCAACCUGGGAACUGCCUUUGUGACUGCAAGGCUAGAGUAAGGCAGAGGGGGGUGGAAUUCCGCGUGUAGCAGUGAAAUGCGUAGAUACGCGGAGGAACACCGAUGGCGAAGGCAAUCCCCUGGGCCUGUACUGACGCUCAUGCACGAAAGCGUGGGGAGCAAACAGGAUUAGAUACCCUGGUAGUCCACGCCCUAAACGAUGUCAACUGGUUGUUGGGUCUUCAUUGACUCAGUAACGAAGCUAACGCGUGAAGUUGACCGCCUGGGGAGUACGGCCGCAAGGUUGAAACUCAAAUGAAUUGGCGGGG